rnacentral:rRNA from 1 species
UGUCCCGAGAUGAGUUCUCCCUGAGACUUAGAGUCUCCUGAAGGAACGUUGAAGACGACGACGUUGAUAGGCCGGGUGUGUAAGCGCAGCGAUGCGUUGAGCUAACCGGUACUAAUGAACCGUGAGGCUUAACCUUACAACGCCGAAGCUGUU